AUGCCGUUCCACCGCGGCAGCAGCUCCGGCACCGGCGGCGACGACGGACCGAGCGUGUGGCCGUCGAGCCUGAGCACGCCGGAGACAGAGGAGCUGUACCGGUUUGGGCUCCUCGUGCCGCCGGGUUGCCGUCUUCCGCACAACUGGAAACUCGACAAGGACGACUACCCGAGGCGCGGGCCCGGCGCCACCGCGGAGGAGAAGCGGACCGGCGGCCGCAACAACAUCGCCGGCCGUCACGCGUUCUGGGACGGCAAAGAGUACGCCGCCGUCAUCGGCGCGUAUCGGCUGGCGGAGUCCGGUGUCACGCCAGACCUCAUCGGCGACCGCCGCCGCCUUCUUGUCCCACGCCCCCGUCCAGAAGCGCGCGGCCGUCGGGCCCCUCCACCACCUGCGCCGGCGCCCGCCGAUCCCCCCGCCCCGCCAGAGGUGGAACUGCCGCCGGAGCAGGUGGUUCUUCGGGAGGACGGCGAUCCCGACGAUACGCCGGGUUACCUCGUCGCCCUGCAGGCGUCGGUGGCUGUAGCGGCGGCUGCAGAUGCGGCGGCGGCUGCGAGGGAGGCCGCCGAGCAGGCGGCAGCGAUCCAGGCGGCGGCGGCGAUUCCGCCGGUGGUCCCUCAGGCGGAGGCGGAGUCGUCGGACGAAGACGUCAUCGACUGGGAGCGGUUAGCCCAGGUCAGCGACGACGACGGCGGCGGUGACGGCGCGGGGGAGUUCAUCGAUCUCGCAGCUAGCGACGAGGAGUAG
rnacentral:rRNA from 1 species